rnacentral:rRNA from 1 species
UACGUAGGGUGCGAGCGUUGUCCGGAAUUAUUGGGCGUAAAGGGCUCGUAGGCGGUUUGUCGCGUCGGGAGUGAAAUCCACUGGCUUAACUGGUGGCUUGCUUUCGAUACGGGCAGACUGGAGGUAUGCAGGGGAGAACGGAAUUCCUGGUGUAGCGGUGAAAUGCGUAGAUAUCGGGAGGAACACCAGUGGCGAAGGCGGCUACCUGGCCCAUUCUUGACGCUGAGGCGCGAAAGCUAGGGGAGCAAACGGG